CUCCUCUCAGCCUCUCCCUUCUCUUUUCGACUGAAACCUCACACUAACUUUUCGACUGAAACCUAACCCACCAAAGAAUUCGACUGAAACCCUAACACAAUCGAAGUAGAGUUAUUGCUCUUGAUCUAGAGUUUUUCAAAUCUCUUUUGAAUUUCAUGAAAUUAUUAUUGUUUUCUCUGAAUAAUUUCAUGAAAUUGAUUGAAGAUGAAGAACAAAUGUGGAAUCCCUAACUUCAUCACCAAAUCUUGAGUUUUCGGAGUCAACAAAAAAUCAACAGAACUCAUCAAAACCUAGAAGGGGUUUUAUUUUCCAUCUCCUGCAUAUUCAGAUAAGUGAUUCUAGUAACUUAGAUUUAUAAUUCAGCGGCUUUUUUAAAUCGAUUAUGAGUUUAUUUGUUUUUUGAGAUAAUAAUUAUAAUUUGUUUUUCUGUGUAAUGUCAUCAGGUCUUUUGAGAAAAAUGGGAAUAUGAGAAACCCUAAAUUCAUCAGCAAGUACAGAUGAUUCUGGUUUCUAGUUUCAAAUAAAAAAUGGGUUGAUCGUUUUACUUAGUGAAGCUAAUUCUUCAACUUUGUUUUCCUCUCUCGCUAUCUGUUGGGACCCUACACUAACACUAUCUCUUCGUACAGCACCCUUAUCUUUCCUCUCAAACCCUAGCCUUACACAUCUAUUGCUGCUUCAAAUUUUUUUUUUUUUUUUGGGUUCUCGAAGAGAAAAGCCCUGUAAAUCCUUUAGUUCUCAAUAACCCUGGGAUUUAUUACACGUUAUUUUUGUGCUUGUCUUUGUCCAGUUUUUUUGUUUUGUUUUUGUUUUGAUAUUCUUGUUUUAGUUGUUCUGAAAUUAGGAGGAUCUUUUGCUUUCUCGGUCUCUACCCCCUUGAUCUUACUGCUCCUCGCACCCUUAGAUUACACAGCUCUUACUACUGAGAAAAGCCCCUGAUAUGUGUUAAGAUUUGUAAAUCCAUUGGUUCUCAGUAGUUCUGGGGUUUAUUAUCUGUGUUAUGUUUGGUUCUGUUUUCGAUUUUUUGGUCUUGAUAGUUUGGUUGUUUUGUGCAGAGCAGUGAUCGAAAUGCGCAUGAAUAGUUAACUGCUUUUGGUCUUGAUAGUUCGUUUGUUUUGUCCAGAGUAGUGAUCUAAAUGCGCAUGAAUAGUUAGUUAACUGCUGAACCCGAUGAUCUAAUUUCUUUAGUACUACGAAUGAAUUACUGUAUAUCUAAUUACUGUAUGUGGUUACUGCUUUCUUUAGUACUACGAAUGAAUUGCUGUAUGUCUAAUUUCUCUGUGUGUGUUUUUAUAGGGUUCUGAAUAUGGUGAGAAGGAAGUGGUGGAGGGGAAUGAGGAAAAGAGUAUGACAAAUAUUGAUUUUGAUUCUAGUUUGUAGUGGUUGUGAUUCUGUUGUUUUUUGUGGAUUGAUGGUACGUAUUGUUGGAGUUGUUGGCUAACUGGUUGUGCAAUCAUUGGUGUUGAACACGAAGAAGAAUGUGGACAAAAGCAAGUGAAGGUCGUAGCUGGGUAUACGUCGCAAUCUCAUUUGAAGAUGCAAGUCAUUAUCUCCUUUAAUGUAGAUUAGAGAUCACUUAUCAAUUACACCCGUCAUGCAUCUCUUGGGAAAAUUGGGUUCCGGUGUUGCUUAAAUUUGUUAAAUUUUGUUUUGAAGAUGGUGUAAAUAAAUAACUGCAUAAGCUUGUGGAGGUGGAACAUUGAAUGAAUGCAUAAGCUUGGGAAAGUGCAGAUGACCCUGUCUAUUGGGAAGUUUUGAUUGGGUGGCUUCAUUUCAUAAUCCAUAUACACCAAAUACGAAUUCCAGUCAGCAUUACCAAUUACAUUAUUACCAAGAAAAUGUCUCUCUAAGCUACACAUACUUCUGGUAAUAGACCAUCUCAUCUUCAGUAGCACCCAAACCUGCUCACCAUUAAUGUUUCUGAAAUCUUAUCUCUUCUUUGCUAUGCACACUUUGCACACCAACUUCCAGCAAUCAAUCAGUGCUUUGUCUCCUCUGAACCUCGUAACUCAUUACGGCAGCUGUCGGGUUUAACAACAACCUAUAUUGAGCUAUCUCAACGUAGCAGAUAAAAGAGAACUAAAGAUGUGGGUAUUGAUGGCGAUAAAGGUUGCGAAAGGCUGGUUUCAAAUGGGAAUGGACUAAUAGAGUAAAUGGAGAGGGGGAGGAGAUACUGGAGGUCAGGGACCUCAGGGUACCCGAUGGUUUGAGAAGCAUCAAGGAAUUCAACUGUUUGCGAAGCUGCCCGGACAUAGCACGGGCACAAAAUCUAGUUUCUUUGUAAUUCCUUACCAACUUUGUUUGCGUCAUUAUUUUGGUGAGUCCACGCUCCCGCUAACAGACUCCUCGUAUCACAGUGCAACAUUUCCACUUUCAGCAGCACAUUUCUGGAUUAUAUUUGUCACUUUCAAACCGGCUUGGUGUUUGAGAGCACAAAUAGUUUUAGUUUGCAGAAUGGGGUGCAAGCGAUUUGUAGUAGCUUCUUAUGUUGCACGCCUUUUACACAUAUCACACUAACAGGACAUUUUGUCUUCCUGCUUUGUUACCGACCACCAAUUCCCUGUACUACUUUAUUUGGUCGAUAGUAAUUAACGGAUCCUAAAUUUUGUCUGAACUUGGGCAUUAAUAAUACUCCAUAAUGGUAAUUUUCUAUGUA